UACGAAGGGGGCGAGCGUUGUUCGGAUUUACUGGGCGUAAAGGGCGCGUAGGCGGCCGCUCAAGUCGGGGGUGAAAGCCUGUGGCUUAACCACAGAAUUGCCUUCGAUACUGUUUGGCUUGAGACCGGAAGAGGUGAGUGGAACUGCGAGUGUAGAGGUGAAAUUCGUAGAUAUUCGCAAGAACACCAGUGGCGAAGGCGGCUCACUGGUCCGGUUCUGACGCUGAGGCGCGAAAGCGUGGGGAGCAAACAGG
rnacentral:rRNA from 1 species